AACGUAGGACGCAAGCGUUAUCCGGAAUUACUGGGCGUAAAGCGCGCGUAGGCGGUUUGAUAAGUCACUGUUGAAAGCUCCCGGCUAAACUGGGAGAGGUGCGGUGAGACUGUCAGGCUAGAGUAUGGGAGAGGGAUGCAGAAUUCCGGGUGUAGUGGUGAAAUGCGUAGAGAUCCGGAGGAAUACCAGAGGCGAAGGCGGCAUCCUGGCCUGUUACUGACACUGAGACGCGAAAGCAUGGGGAGCGAACGGG
rnacentral:rRNA from 1 species